rnacentral:rRNA from 1 species
GACGAACCGUCCUAACGUUGUUCGGAAUCACUGGGCUUAAAGGGCGCGUAGGCGGGUCUCCAAGUCGGUGGUGAAAUCUUUCAGCUCAACUGGAAAAGUGCCGCCGAUACUGGGGGUCUCGAGGGAGGUAGGGGUCGAUGGAACUAAUGGUGGAGCGGUGAAAUGCGUAGAUAUCAUUAGGAACGCCGGUGGCGAAAGCGAUCGACUGGACCUCUUCUGACGCUGAGGCGCGAAAGCCAGGGGAGCAAACGGG